rnacentral:pre_miRNA from 1 species
AGGACAAUUGCUGGGUCAUAUGGUGUGCCAUGCUUAGCUUUAUAGGAAACUGCCAAAAUGUUUUCAAGAAUGGGCACUACCAUUUACAUCCCCAUCAGCAAU